AGCGAACGUUUGCGGCGGGCUUAACACAUGCAAGUCGAACGGGCUGUUCCUUCGGGGGCAGUCAGUGGCGCACGGGUGCGUAACACGUAGGUAAUCAACCCUCUGGUUGGGGAUAACACUUCGAAAGGAGUGCUAAUACCCGGUAUGGCGCAGCGGUCUUCGGAUCGCGGCGAGAAAGACCCGCAAGGGUUGCCAGAGGACGAGCCUGCGGCCCAUCAGCUAGUUGGCGAGGUAACGGCUCACCAAGGCGACGACGGGUAGCUGGUCUGAGAGGAUGAUCAGCCACACUGGAACUGAGACACGGUCCAGACUCCUACGGGAGGCAGCAGUGGGGAAUAUUGCGCAAUGGGCGAAAGCCUGACGCAGCCACGCCGCGUGAGCGAUGAAGGCC
rnacentral:rRNA from 1 species